CGACCGCACGGAGCAAAGCUGCCGGUCACGAGACUGGGAGCUUCCGCUGGGGCUUUCAGAAUAAAACCAUUUGCUGUUUGUAGGGCAACAUGAGCACAAAACCGACAGGAAAGCGGUGCGUGUUGGACCUCGUGUAUAUAUUCUCAGUAAAAGAACGCUCUCAGUACAUUUUUAAAGGAGAGCAUUUGUGCGUAGUUUGGCGCACAGGCGCUGUUCUACAUUUGAUCUCGUCGCUGUUACGUGAUGUGUUUUAUUUUGAAGGCGAGAUCCUCUCGACAUCCUGUAUCUGUCCCGUCCAUCCGUGGCGCUUGACUCGAGCGGCCGUCCAUUCAAAGAGCCUAUUCCUGUGCGACAGACGGGGGCGCGCAUCAGGCCACCUCCUCCUCUUCGUGUCCACGGUCCGGGGGGAGGCCACCGGCGAGGCCCACACAUCCCAGAAUGCACCCUGGCUGCUUAUCUGCUCCAUCCACCACCCCCAACACACACACACACACACACACACACACACACACACACACACACACACACACACACACACACACACACACACACACACCUCUGGUGGAGCUGGAGCUGAGGUUUGAUGACGCUGUCGCUCGUUCGCUGCAGCGGCGCCUUCCUUCCAGGACACCUCUUCGUCGCGCCCUUGUCUCCGCAGCCGGAGCGAGUCCAGCCAUCAAGGUUAUCUCCCCUCAGCGUCUCUUUCAGCCCCCCUCACAGAGUUACAGCACGUGUUCGCAUGAAUAUUAACGCCCGCCUGCAAAGCUACGAGGUGCAUGGCGCUACUGUAUGCGGCCGCUCCAUAAAUCCCCCGCACUGUACGACACAAACAUGGCCGGUGAUGUGGGGCCGCGAGGCUCUCUGGGACUUUCAUGCUCAAAUGUCAGAGCAUUUCAUCCUGAUGACUAUGACUCACUCCCCUCGCUCUGAGUCUGCAUGAAAGAACAACGGCGCCAAUUAACUGCCUAAGCUCCUCACAUGCAACAGUAGAAAACAGCCUCUGUAUCAAAUAAUAUACCAGGACACACACACACAGUGACAUAUUUUACACAUAUGUAUGUUUAAACAUAGUAAAUAUCUACAUUCUUCUUCACCCGGUGAGAAUCUCCCACUACCUCAGCCACACUGACAAGUGGCUGCAUGUGAAAACAGAGCAAGACUCAGCACUCAUCAACAUGCUCUACUAGAGGCCUAAUGGCCCCUGGGUAAUGGCCUCUUUGGUCUUCAGGAAAUCCUCCCUCAUGCAUACAUCAAAGCUGGGAUUGAGAAGGAUCGAGAGUAGAAAGCAGGGGAGAGAAAUGAGACACCAGCGCCUCACGCAGAGGGAAACUGUGCUGUUCGGUCAAUCCAACACAUGUGAAAUAAACACUACAGCUGUAUUAGCUUCAUGACUGACUAUUGCACUAGCUAUUUUCUUAAAUGAAAUCAGUGCUUUCGGCCUUAUGAUGCGGCCGUGGUCAUUAUUUCCUCUCCUCUCUCUGCUGACGCACGGAGCCCGGCCUCGUCAGCCAGCUGCCGUGACGCAGGACCUGCAGCCCGUCGGCCCACGACGCCUCCCGCCUCCGCUCGCUGGGCUCAGGCCAUCUGCUGAGUCGGCACAUUGCGGAUCUGUCAGCGCGCUCUCAUUAAAAUUCACGCGAAGGGGCUUCGCGGUGACCCCGGCCGCGUUUGCAGAGGCGCUGCCCCGCUCCGUAUGGUAAACGCGCAGAUGUUGCCUGUCUCCUGCGCGCAGCUAUUUGUGUCCUGCGCGUCCGUCAACACGUGGCCGCUCUAAACGCAGCAAACGCGUUGGGAGGAGGCCGCGACCUUUCGCGACCUUUCGCGACCUCCGCGCGUCCUGCGCCGCGCGGCCCUCGGCGAGCUGGACUCUCUGCUUCUGGGAUGGACGCGGGCGGAGUGAGGAGUGCACAGUGGCUUGCCCGCCCUGCCUUCACAUUAAAGCGCAUCUUAAUUGCCAUUAAAGCUGGCGAUAAGAGCUUAAUGAAGGAAUUAUUAGAUAACGCACAUUCCGGAGCUUGUUCUCCACAGUCACAGUCUGACAGACGCAAACACGCGCAGUAGCGACUCAAGCUGGCAGAUUUUAUAAGUAGACGGUAGCUCAGAACUGGGGGAGGAGGCAGGACGGAGACUGAGAGCCUCUAAUACAUCACAUCCUGUGACCACAGCUGUGGUCUGAGGGUCACAUGGGUGGAAUGCGCCGGUCCCAGAGGAGCAUCACUGAUAGACACACAGAUCAUCAAUCACUCUGUGAGUAGCUUUAGCUGUCAGCAGUCUGUAUUCUAUAUAAUAAGAUCACGAUUUGAGUCAAAAUGGAUGCUUGUUUGUUUAUGAAUGCAGGGGUUUAUUUGGCUGAACUUACAGUAGCUACAUGUAAAUGUUCUAGAUUUAAAUUUAUGACCUUCACCUGGUUGUUAGCAUUACAUGACAUUUACUGUCACUCGCUGUCAGCUUAAGAGAAGGAUUAAAGAUGACUCAUUUUACAUUUUCACGAUGGAAGUACUUCCUCUUUGGGGCUUUUAUUUUGAAACAACCUCCUGUCCUCCUCUGGGCAUCGCCCGUGCUUUUUUUCUGCAUCUGCAAAUUCCAAUAACACAAUGAUAAAUAAACAUUUGACUAACUGAAA